UGCCAGCAGCCGCGGUAAUACGGAGGGUGCAAGCGUUGUCCGGAUUUACUGGGUUUAAAGGGUACGUAGGCGGCUUUUUAAGUCAGUGGUGAAAUGUGUCGGCUCAACCGGCAACGUGCCAUUGAUACUGAUUAGCUAGAGUGUUGUAUAGGUGGGCGGAAUUGAUGGUGUAGCGGUGAAAUGCAUAGAUACCAUCAAGAACACCGAUUGCGAAGGCAGCUCACUGGGCAACAACUGACGCUGAGGUACGAAAGCGUGGGGAGCGAACAGGAUUAGAUA
rnacentral:rRNA from 1 species